GGUUGCCAAGUGAACUUGUUUCAUCUGAGAGUGUUUAUGUCCAAUAGGAGAGCAAGGUUCCUGGCUGUGAGGAACUGCAGAAAAGAAUGGAGUAUUUGCUGACAUUUACCUACACACCCGCUUCAGUUCAUGUCCCUGCUCUGGCCUCAUUUCUUCCAUGGUGAGCAAGAGAUGUGAAAACUAUGACUUCUAAGAACACAGCUCUUCUAUUGGUGGUUCCCCAACUACAGUAGUUGGUUCACUGUGGAAUGCCUGAAGUAACAUGAUCAGAAAAACAUCAGAAAUGGGACUUGGAAGUAAAGGUGAGCAAAGCUCUUGAGGUAAGGAUUUGUAUUCAUGUUAACCUUGGUAAUCUUCACAACCUUGCAUAUAUCAGGGGAUCAAUAAAUAUUUCCUAG